rnacentral:rRNA from 1 species
UUCCAGACUCCUACGGGAGGCAGCAGUGAGGAAUAUUGGUCAAUGGCCGAGAGGCUGAACCAGCCAAGUCGCGUGAGGGAAGAAUGUCCUAUGGAUUGUAAACCUCUUUUGUCAGGGAGCAAAGUCACCCACGUGUGGGUGUUGGAGAGUACCUGAAGAAAAAGCAUCGGCUAACUCCGUGCCAGCAGCCGCGGUAAUACGGAGGAUGCGAGCGUUAUCCGGAUUUAUUGGGUUUAAAGGGUGCGUAGGCGGACAGUCAAGUCAGCGGUAAAAAUGCGGUGCUCAACGCCGUACAGCCGUUGAAACUGGCAGUCUUGAGUGGGCGAGAAGUAUGCGGAAUGCGUGGUGUAGCGGUGAAAUGCAUAGAUAUCACGCAGAACUCCGAUUGCGAAGGCAGCAUACCGGCGCCCGACUGACGCUGAGGCACGAAAGCGUGGGUAUCGAACAGGAUUAGAUACCCUUGUAAC